rnacentral:rRNA from 1 species
GAUGAACGCUGGCGGCGUGCCUAAUACAUGCAAGUCGAACGAACAGACGAUGAGCGUGCUCCUUUGACGUUAGCGGCGGACGGGUGGGUAACACGUGGAUAAGCUUCCUAUAAUACUGGGAUAAUUUCGGGAGACCGGAGCUAAUACCGGAGAAUAUAUUGAACCGCAUGGUUCAAUAGUGAAACACGGUUUUGCUGUCACUUAUAGCUGGAUCCGCGCCGGAUAAGCUAGUUGGUAAGGUAACGGCUUACCAAGGCAACGAUGCGUAGCCGACCUGAGAGGGUGAUCGGCCACACUGGAACUGAGACACGGUCCAGACUCCUACGGGAGGCAGCAGUAGGGAAUCUUCCGCAAUGGGCGAAAGCCUGACGGAGCAACACCGCGUGAGUGAUGAAGGUCUUCGGAUCGUAAAACUCUGUUAUUAGGGAAGAAAAAAUGCAUAAGUAACCAUGCACGUCUUGACGGUACCUAAUCAGAAAGCAACGGCUAACUACGUG